UGGGAAUUUGGACAAUGGGCGAAAGCCUGAUCCAGCAAUGCCGCGUGUGUGAAGAAGGCCUUCGGGUUGUAAAGCACUUUUGUCCGGAAAGAAAUCCUUGGCUCUAAUACAGUCGGGGGAUGACGGUACCGGAAGAAUAAGCACCGGCUAACUACGUGCCAGCAGCCGCGGUAAUACGUAGGGUGCAAGCGUUAAUCGGAAUUACUGGGCGUAAAGCGUGCGCAGGCGGUUUGCUAAGACCGAUGUGAAAUCCCCGGGCUCAACCUGGGAACUGCAUUGGUGACUGGCAGGCUAGAGUAUGGCAGAGGGGGGUAGAAUUCCACGUGUAGCAGUGAAAUGCGUAGAGAUGUGGAGGAAUACCGAUGGCGAAGGCAGCCCCCUGGGCCAAUACUGACGCUCAUGCACGAAAGCGUGGGGAGCAAACAGGAUUAGAUACCCUGGUAGUCCACGCCCUAAACGAUGUCAACUAGUUGUUGGGGAUUCAUUUCCUUAGUAACGUAGCUAACGCGUGAAGUUGACCGCCUGGGGAGUACGGUCGCAAGAUUAAAACUCAAAUGAAUUGAC
rnacentral:rRNA from 1 species